CCCUUAGACGUUCUGGGCCGCACGCGCGCUACACUGUUUGAUUCAGCGAGUCUUAACCUUGACCGAAAGGUUUGGGUAAUCUUCUAAAGUCAAACGUGAUGGGGAUCGAUCAUUGCAAUUAUUGAUCGUGAACGAGGAAUUCCUAGUAAAUGCAAGUCAUCAGCUUGCGUUGAUUACGUCCCUGCCCUUUGUACACACCGCCCGUCGCUACUACCGAUUGAAUGGUUUAGUGAGAUCUCCGGAUUGGCUCUGUAGGUCCCGCAAGGGAUUUAUUAGUAGCCAAGAAGCUGCUCAAACUUGAUCAUUUAGAGGAAGUAAAAGUCGUAACA
rnacentral:rRNA from 1 species